rnacentral:lncRNA from 1 species
CUUUUGAGGAUAUGCUUUAGAAACUGCUUGCUAUGUACUGAACAAGAUUUCAAGUAAGUCUAUCAAUAAAAUUCGAUAUAAGAUAUGGAUAGGGUGUAAGUCAGUACUCUCACACCUUAGGAUUUAGUGAUAUCCGACUUAUGUCAAAUAUUUAAAACAGAUAAGCUUGGACCCAGGUCUAAUAAGUAUUUAUUUGUAGGGUACCC